CCUACGGGCGGCAGCAGUGGGGAAUAUUGGACAAUGGGGGGAACCCUGAUCCAGCCAUGCCGCGUGUGUGAAGAAGACCCUCGGGUUGUAAAGCACUUUCAGUGAGGAAGAACGCCUGGUGGUUAAUACCCAUCAGGAAAGACAUCACUCACAGAAGAAGCACCGGCUAACUCCGUGCCAGCAGCCGCGGUAAUACGGAGGGUGCGAGCGUUAAUCGGAAUUACUGGGCGUAAAGCGCGCGUAGGUGGCUUGAUAAGCCGGUUGUGAAAGCCCCGGGCUCAACCUGGGAACGGCAUCCGGAACUGUCAAGCUAGAGUGCAGGAGAGGAAGGUAGAAUUCCCGGUGUAGCGGUGAAAUGCGUAGAGAUCGGGAGGAAUACCAGUGGCGAAGGCGGCCUUCUGGACUGACACUGACACUGAGGUGCGAAAGCGUGGGUAGCAAACAGGAUUAGAUACCCGUGUAGUC
rnacentral:rRNA from 1 species